AUUGAACGCUGGCGGCAUGCCUUACACAUGCAAGUCGAACGGCAGCACGGGUGCUUGCACCUGGUGGCGAGUGGCGAACGGGUGAGUAAUACAUCGGCACAUGUCCUGUAGUGGGGGAUAGCCCGGCGAAAGCCGGAUUAAUACCGCAUACGAUCUACGGAUGAAAGCGGGGGACCUUCGGGCCUCGCGCUAUAGGGUUGGCCGAUAGCUGAUUAGCUAGUUGGUGGGGUAAAGGCCUACCAAGGCGACGAUCAGUAGCUGGUCUGAGAGGACGACCAGCCACACUGGAACUGAGACACGGCCCAGACUCCUACGGGAGGCAGCAGUGGGGAAUUUUGGACAAUGGGCGAAAGCCUGAUCCAGCAAUGCCGCGUGUGUGAAGAAGGCCUUCGGGUUGUAAAGCACUUUUGUCCGGAAAGAAAUCCUUGGCUCUAAUACAGUCGGGGGAUGACGGUACCGGAAGAAUAAGCACCGGCUAACUACGUG
rnacentral:rRNA from 1 species